rnacentral:rRNA from 1 species
AGCCGGUCAUGUCCACGCUCGUAAACGAUGUCGAUUUGGAGGAUUGGGACCCUUGAGGCGUGGCUUCCGGAGCUAACGCGUUAAAUCGACCGCCUGGGGAGUACGGCCGCAAGGUUAAAACUCAAAUGAAUUGACGGGGGCCCGCACAAGCGGUGGAGCAUGUGGUUUAAUUCGAUGCAACGCGAAGAACCUUACCUACUCUUGACAUCCAGAGAACUUUCCAGAGAUGGAUUGGUGCCUUCGGGAACUCUGAGACAGGUGCUGCAUGGCUGUCGUCAGCUCGUGUUGUGAAAUGUUGGGUUAAGUCCCGCAACGAGCGCAACCCUUAUCCUUUGUUGCCAGCGAUUCGGUCGGGAACUCAAAGGAGACUGCCGGUGAUAAACCGGAGGAAGGUGGGGAUGACGUCAAGUCAUCAUGGCCCUUACGAGUAGGGCUACACACGUGCUACAAUGGCGUAUACAAAGAGAAGCGAACUCGCGAGAGCAAGCGGACCUCAUAAAGUACGUCGUAGUCCGGAUUGGAGUCUGCAACUCGACUCCAUGAAGUCGGAAUCGCUAUUAAUCGUAGAUCAAAAUGCUACGGUGAAUACGUU